CACAACUUUCAUACACAAUCCACUAUAUCCAGAAUAUCCCAUACAUGACUAAGUCAUGAUUGAGUAUAAAUCAAAAUAUGGAUUCAUAUAUAUAAGGUUUUAUGGUAGUCUCAGGUCAAAGGACUACAUGCACAACUCCCACUAUAAGAAAACAUCUUUUGACGGAUAAAUAGAUCCAUAAGAUAUUUUUUAAGACAGAUCAGUUCAGUGAACUCAUUCUCUAAUGAGCACCCACAUCUUCGUAUUAGUGUCUCACACAAAUGACUUAUGAGAUCGGCCACUCUCACUAUCGAGCAUAUAUAAGAUGUACCAGUCUAUCUAGAACAUUGAUCCUCUACUCAAUGCUCCUAUGACUAGGAAUAUUCUAAAUCAGGAUUUUUAGGAUUUUAGGUCUUAUAGAUAUGAUCUCAUCAUAACCCUAAAACUAUUACCUUGAUUUAUGGGGUUCAUCGUAAUCAUUACAAAUAUAAGAUACAACAUAUGAUGAAAAAUAAAUACCUUAUAUUUAUUCAUAAAGUGUCAAUUACAUGAGUCUGGAAUAUUACAACGAAAAUCCAUCAAAAUACAAAUAUCGAUUGGCUUGUAGGGCAUAUUUCUUUCAUCUUUUUGCUUUAGAUGGGGUAUCUUAUGGAUUUGCAGUUAUAACUGCCCAAUUCAAAGAAAUGUUAGCGAGAACUUCAAACACUUUUUUUGAAUGAGGGGUGGCAUAUAUCAUGGAAACCUUUGAAUUCUUGGAGGUCAAAGAGGAGCAUUUAUUUGGAACAGGAAGAGAUCCUACUUAUAUUUUUCAGAUUGUUUAGGUGGGAUGCAACCCCCCUAGAACAUCCUUUUGCUCAACCUCUGGUGAUAUAGAAUUGAACAAUAGAGCACCAGUAUGUAAAUUCAUCAUCUUCUUAUAUAAUCAAAGAGGAGUUUCUUAAAGCUACACUAUCUGGUCAGCUAACAAUUUUGAACUACCAAAUGACAUCCUAAUGUAUUGUUAUGCUAAUUGUAAGCCAGAGCCACCUUAUUAUCUGCCAACAGAAAUAAUGGUGAUAUCUUUUAUGUUAUUAACCUUUUGCUUCCCCGCAACCAUUUAUCUUCACUUUUUAAUAUUGCGCUAGAGCCAAUGGUGGCAAAUGUGAAGAUAUUGUAUCUUUGUGACUAAUGUUUGAUGCUUGUGAUUUGUGAGAAUCUGAAUAACUGCAUCUGAAUGAUAAUCAAGAAGACUUGUCCAAGGUAUUGGGUUUUGCUUUCUGAUGCAAACAAACUUCGCUAUUGACAAAAAAUAUAA
rnacentral:lncRNA from 1 species